CAGGCUAAUCACUGGGUAGGCUCAGGCCGCGUUAAUGGCUGAGAUCGUGUCCUGUUACACUGCUGACUAAUGGACUUCCCAGACUGAAGUUCCUACUGUAGGCUGGGCCUCAGGUUUUCCUGGCUUAAUAUCUCUGUCAGAAAGGUGACAGUACUCCAGUGACACCACCUUACCUGAAGCUGGGUAGAAUGAAACUUAAUCUUGGGAAGGAUCAUAGCAGCACUGACCUGAGGCCCCAAAAUCCCAGAGGGUGGCUGGAGGACACACAGGGAUUGAUUCUACCCUGAGCAUGCUACCCACUGAGCCCAGUAAGUAAGGCUGAUACUUAAAGAGCUGUGAGAUUCAAUUGGUAGUUCCUUAGGAAGCCAGGUGAGCAGCAAGUAUAUGUAUUUCCCAGGUAGAUACCCGGGGAAACUUCCAG
rnacentral:lncRNA from 1 species